rnacentral:ncRNA from 1 species
AUGUUGUUGCGAUAGUAAUCCUGCUCAGUACGAGAGGAACCGCAGGUUCAGACAUUUGGUUCAUGUGUUUGGCCGAUCGGCCAAUGGUGCGAAGCUACCAUCUGAGGGAUUAUGACUGAACGCCUCUAAGUCAGAAUCCCACCUAGACAAGGCAACGAUAAAUUUGCUCCCCGAUGUCGGGAGGCACUAUUAUGUAAUAAAUAUUUUAUUACAGCUAAUGCCCCAUUAUAUGGUCUUGCUAAUUAAUCGAAUGGUUAAGUGGUUGCCAAAACCGGAUUACUCUGGUACAGUGUCGGGGCGCAAAAUCACUUGAAGACGACUUGAUUACUGGUCAAGGUGUUGUAAGCAGUAGAGCAGCCUCCAUAUUGCGAUCUGUUGAGACUUAUCCUUUGAUUGGACGAUUU